AUACUGAACUAGCCGUUGUUAACUCAUUGGCUGCCAGCCAUUUUCUGAGCAGCCAACCCCUCACUGCCAGCUGUUUUGGGGAAUUUUGAUCUAUGUUUCAAGACCCACAGAAUACUGUCUGCUAUGACUAUGAAAAAAACAAAACCACCAUCAGAAAGAUUAGAGUCUUAUCUUUCAUCAAAAAAAAAAAGUUUGUCUCUACCUUUUUCCAUUCUUGAGUAAUUGGCAGGAGAACAUAGGGUGGUUUCACCAAAAACACCAGUUUCCAACUAAAAAGGUGAGAAAAACAGCUUUUUGUGAAAUGACGCAUGUCGACCAGAACAGUGACUUUGAUGUGAAUAUUUUUUACUUUAGUGACACCUCAAACAUGUGAACAUUGUUUGCUGCUAUAAAAACAAC